CGGACGGGUGAGUAACGCGUGAGGAACCUGCCUUUCAGUGGGGGACAACAGUUGGAAACGACUGCUAAUACCGCAUAACGUACGGGUAUCGCAUGGUAUCUGUACCAAAGAUUUAUCGCUGAGAGAUGGCCUCGCGUCUGAUUAGCUAGUUGGUAGGGUAACGGCCUACCAAGGCGACGAUCAGUAGCCGGACUGAGAGGUUGGCCGGCCACAUUGGGACUGAGAUACGGCCCAGACUCCUACGGAAGGCAGCAG
rnacentral:rRNA from 1 species